UACGUAGGGGGCAAGCGUUGUCCGGAAUCAUUGGGCGUAAAGAGCGUGUAGGCGGCCCGAUAAGUCCGCUGUGAAAGUCCAGGGCUCAACCCUGGGAUGCCGGUGGAUACUGUCGGGCUCGAGUCCGGAAGAGGAGUGUGGAAUUCCUGGUGUAGCGGUGAAAUGCGCAGAUAUCAGGAGGAACACCAAUGGCGAAGGCGGCUCUCUGGGACGGUACUGACGCUGAGACGCGAAAGCGUGGGGAGCGAACAGG
rnacentral:rRNA from 1 species